rnacentral:rRNA from 1 species
CUAUGUGUUGUUGGGUAGGGGAGCGUUCUGUAAGCCUGUGAAGGUGGCCUGUGAGGGUUGCUGGAGGUAUCAGAAGUGCGAAUGCUGACAUAAGUAACGAUAAAGCGGGUGAAAAGCCCGCUCGCCGGAAGACCAAGGGUUCCUGUCCAACGUUAAUCGGGGCAGGGUGAGUCGACCCCUAAGGCGAGGCCGAAAGGCGUAGUCGAUGGGAAACAGGUUAAUAUUCCUGUACUUGGUGUUACUGCGAAGGGGGGACGGAGAAGGCUAUGUUGGCCGGGCGACGGUUGUCCCGGUUUAAGCGUGUAGGCUGGUUUUCCAGGCAAAUCCGGAAAACCAAGGCUGAGGCGUGAUGACGAGGCACUACGGUGCUGAAGCGACAAAUGCCCUGCUUCCAGGAAAAGCCUCUAAGCAUCAGGUAACAUCAAAUCGUACCCCAAACCGACACAGGUGGUCAGGUAGAGAAUACCAAGGCGCUUGAGAGAACUCGGGUGAAGGAACUAGGCAAAAUGGUGCCGUAACUUCGGGAGAAGGCACGCUGAUAUGUAGGUGAAGCGACUUGCUCGUGGAGCUGAAAUCAGUCGAAGAUACCAGCUGGCUGCAACUGUUUAUUAAAAACACAGCACUGUGCAAACACGAAAGUGGACGUAUACGGUGUGACGCCUGCCCGGUGCCGGAAGGUUAAUUGAUGGGGUUAGCGGCAACGCGAAGCUCUUGAUCGAAGCCCCGGUAAACGGCGGCCGUAACUAUAACGGUCCUAAGGUAGCGAAAUUCCUUGUCGGGUAAGUUCCGACCUGCACGAAUGGCGUAAUGAUGGCCAGGCUGUCUCCACCCGAGACUCAGUGAAAUUGAACUCGCUGUGAAGAUGCAGUGUACCCGCGGCAAGACGGAAAGACCCCGUGAACCUUUACUAUAGCUUGACACUGAACAUUGAGCCUUGAUGUGUAGGAUAGGUGGGAGGCUUUGAAGUGUGGACGCCAGUCUGCAUGGAGCCGACCUUGAAAUACCACCCUUUAAUGUUUGAUGUUCUAACGUUGGCCCGUAAUCCGGGUUGCGGACAGUGUCUGGUGGGUAGUUUGACUGGGGCGGUCUCCUCCUAAAGAGUAACGGAGGAGCACGAAGGUUGGCUAAUCCUGGUCGGACAUCAGGAGGUUAGUGCAAUGGCAUAAGCCAGCUUGACUGCGAGCGUGACGGCGCGAGCAGGUGCGAAAGCAGGUCAUAGUGAUCCGGUGGUUCUGAAUGGAAGGGCCAUCGCUCAACGGAUAAAAGGUACUCCGGGGAUAACAGGCUGAUACCGCCCAAGAGUUCAUAUCGACGGCGGUGUUUGGCACCUCGAUGUCGGCUCAUCACAUCCUGGGGCUGAAGUAGGUCCCAAGGGUAUGGCUGUUCGCCAUUUAAAGUGGUACGCGAGCUGGGUUUAGAACGUCGUGAGACAGUUCGGUCCCUAUCUGCCGUGGGCGCUGGAGAACUGAGGGGGGCUGCUCCUAGUACGAGAGGACCGGAGUGGACGCAUCACUGGUGUUCGGGUUGUCAUGCCAAUGGCACUGCCCGGUAGCUAAAUGCGGAAGAGAUAAGUGCUGAAAGCAUCUAAGCACGAAACUUGCCCCGAGAUGAGUUCUCCCUGACUCCUUGAGAGUCCU